rnacentral:rRNA from 1 species
GCAUAUCAAUAAGCGGAGGAAAAGAAACCAACAGGGAUUGCCUCAGUAACGGCGAGUGAAGCGGCAAGAGCUCAAAUUUGAAAUCUGGAGCCUUUCAGCUUCCGAGUUGUAAUUUGAAGAGGGUGUUUCGGUUGCGGCCCUGGCCUAAGUUCCUUGGAACAGGACGUCAUGGAGGGUGAGAAUCCCGUACAUGGCUGAGGGCUUGCUUCUAUGUGAAACCCCUUCGAAGAGUCGAGUUGUUUGGGAAUGCAGCUCAAAAUGGGUGGUAAAUUUCAUCUAAAGCUAAAUAUUGGCGGGAGACCGAUAGCGCACAAGUAGAGUGAUCGAAAGAUGAAAAGCACUUUGAAAAGAGAGUUAAACAGUACGUGAAAUUGUUGAAAGGGAAGCGCUUGCAAUCAGACUCGCUUUCGGUUGAUCAACGUUCCUUUUGGUUCGUGCACUCUGCCGUUUGCGGGCCAGCAUCAGUUGGGGCGGUGGGACAAAGGCGGUGGGAAUGUGGCUCCCCUCGGGGAGUGUUAUAGCCCAUCGUGCCAUGCCACCAGUCCCGACUGAGGUCCGCGGUUCGCCUAGGAUGCUGGCUUAAUGGUUGUAAGCGACCCGUCUUGAAACACGGACCAAGGAGUCUAACAUCUACGCGAGUCUUUGGGUGUCAAACCCAUGGGCGCAAUGAAAGUGAACGGAGGUGGGAGUCCUCGGACGCACCAUCGACCGAUCCUGAUGUUCUCGGAUGGAUUUGAGUAUGAGCGUAGCUGUUGGGACCCGAAAGAUGGUGAACUAUGCCUGAAUAGGGUGAAGCCAGAGGAAACUCUGGUGGAGGCUCGCAGCGGUUCUGACGUGCAAAUCGAUCGUCAAAUUUGGGUAUAGGGGCGAAAGACUAAUCGAACCAUCUAGUAGCUGGUCC